AUACGGAGGGUGCAAGCGUUAUUCGGAAUCACUGGGCGUAAAGGACGCGUAGGCGGGUUUGUAAGUCAGGUGUGAAAUCCUACAGCUUAACUGUAGAACUGCACUUGAAACUACAGACCUAGAGUAUGGGAGGGGCAGAUGGAAUUAGUGGUGUAGGGGUAAAAUCCGUAGAUAUCACUAGGAAUACCAAAAGCGAAGGCGAUCUGCUGGAACAUAACUGACGCUAAGGCGUGAAAGCGUGGGGAGCAAACAGGAUUAGAAACCCUGGUAGUCC
rnacentral:rRNA from 1 species